AUACGUAGGGAGCGAGCGUUGUCCGGAAUUACUGGGCGUAAAGGGUGCGUAGGCGGCAUGGCAAGUCAGAUGUGAAAUCCCCGGGCUUAACUCGGGGGGUGCAUUUGAAACUGCUGUGCUUGAGUGCAGGAGAGGAAAGCGGAAUUCCUAGUGUAGCGGUGAAAUGCGUAGAUAUUAGGAGGAACACCAGUGGCGAAGGCGGCUUUCUGGACUGUAACUGACACUGAGGCACG
rnacentral:rRNA from 1 species